rnacentral:rRNA from 1 species
UACGGAGGGUGCAAGCGUUAUCCGGAAUCACUGGGUUUAAAGGGUGCGUAGGCGGUCUUGUAAGUCAGUCGUGAAAUCGCUGGGCUCAACCCAUGCAAUUGCGAUUGAUACUGCUAGACUUGAAUGGGGUUAAGGCAGGCGGAAUGUGGCAUGUAGCGGUGAAAUGCUUAGAUAUGCCAUAGAACACCGAUUGCGAAGGCAGCCUGCUGGGCCUUUAUUGACGCUGAGGCACGAAAGCGUGGGGAGCAAACAGGAUUAGAUACCCUGGUAGUCCACGCCCUAAACGAUGUUUACUUGCUGUUUGCCCUUUGGGGUGAGUGGCGUAGCGAAAGCGAUAAGUAAACCACCUGGGGAGUACGCCGGCAACGGUGAA